rnacentral:rRNA from 1 species
AACGAACGCUGGCGGCAUGCCUAACACAUGCAAGUCGAACCAGACCUUCGGGUCUAGUGGCGCACGGGUGCGUAACGCGUGGGAACCUGCCCUUAGGUUCGGAAUAACUCCCCGAAAGGGGUGCUAAUACCGGAUAAUGUCUUCGGACCAAAGAUUUAUCGCCUUUGGAUGGGCCCGCGUUGGAUUAGCUAGUUGGUAGGGUAAAAGCCUACCAAGGCGACAAUCCAUAGCUGGUCUGAGAGGAUGAUCAGCCACACUGGGACUGAGACACGGCCCAGACUCCUACGGGAGGCAGCAGUGGGGAAUAUUGGACAAUGGGCGAAAGCCUGAUCCAGCAAUGCCGCGUGAGUGAUGAAGGCCUUAGGGUUGUAAAGCUCUUUUACCCGGGAUGAUAAUGACAGUACCGGGAGAAUAAGCUCCGGCUAACUCCGUG